GGAAUAUUGGACAAUGGGCGAAAGCCUGAUCCAGCAAUGCCGCGUGAGUGAUGAAGGCCUUAGGGUUGUAAAUCUCUUUUACCCGGGAUGAUAAUGACAGUACCGGGAGAAUAAGUUCUGGCUAACUCCGUGCCAGCAGCCGCGGUAAUACGGAGGGAGCUAGCGUUGUUCGGAAUUACUGGGCGUAAAGUGCACGUAGGCGGCCAUUCAAGUCAGAGGUGAAAGCCCAGGGCUCAACCCUGGAACUGCCUUUGAAACUAGAUGGCUAGAAACCUGGAGAGGCGAGUGGAAUUCCGAGUGUAGAGGUGAAAUUCGUAGAUAUUCGGAAGAACACCAGUGGCGAAGGCGACUCGCUGGACAGGUAUUGACGCUGAGGUGCGAAAGCGUGGGGAGCAAAC
rnacentral:rRNA from 1 species